AUAGAGAGCGGCGGACGGGUGAGUAACGCGUAGGCAACCUGCCCCAUACAGAGGGAUAGCCUCGGGAAACCGGGAUUAAAACCUCAUAACGCAGAGAGUUCACAUGGACUAUCUGCCAAAGAUUCAUCGGUAUGGGAUGGGCCUGCGUCUGAUUAGCUAGUUGGUGAGGUAACGGCUCACCAAGGCGACGAUCAGUAGCCGACCUGAGAGGGUAAUCGGCCACAUUGGAACUGAGACACGGUCCAAACUCCUACGGGAGGCAGCAGUGGGGAAUAUUGCACAAUGGGCGAAAGCCUGAUGCAGCAACGCCGCGUGAGCGAUGAAGGCCUUUGGGUCGUAAAGCUCUGUCCUUGGGGAAGAAACAAAUGACGGUACCCUUGGAGGAAGCCCCGGCUAACUACGUGCCAGCAGCCGCGGUAAUACGUAGGGGGCGAGCGUUAUCCGGAAUUAUUGGGCGUAAAGAGUGCGUAGGUGGCCAUGUAAGCGCGGGGUGAAAGGCAAUAGCUUAACUAUUGUAAGCCUUGCGAACUGUGUGGCUUGAGUGCAGGAGAGGAAAGUGGAAUUCCUAGUGUAGCGGUGAAAUGCGUAGAUAUUAGGAGGAACACCGAGUGGCGAAGGCGACUUCUGGACUGUAACUGACACUGAGGCACGAAAGCGUGGGAGGCAAACAGGAUUAGAUACCCUGGUAGUCCACGCCGUAAA
rnacentral:rRNA from 1 species